UUUCUUGUCCACAUUAGGAGGCGCCGUGGCGACGGCCCCUGUGGUUUUGGGAGCCAUUGGUUUCACCUCAGUCGGAAUUGCUGCCGGUUCAGUGGCUGCGAGCAUGAUGUCUACAGCAGCCGUUGCUAAUGGAGGAGGAAUUGCAGCUGGAUCACUUGUUGCUGUUUUGCAAUCAGCAGGCAUGGCAGGCUUGGGUACUGCUGCCACAGCAGGAGUGGCCACAGCUGGGGGAACUCUUGGUGGACUUGCAGCCCUUAUUAUUUGAAGCACAUCAUUUAGAAAAAAAAGCAUAAAUUAUUAAUUUUACUUUUCCCAAAUGAAAAAAGUGCAGUAAUAAUUUUCAAUCAAUGUUACCAAAUGAAGGGUUAAUAAUAAAAAAUAUUUGAAAUGUG